rnacentral:rRNA from 1 species
GUAGUCAUAUGCUUGUCUCAAAGAUUAAGCCAUGCAUGUCUAAGUAUAAGCAAUCAUACUGUGAAACUGCGAAUGGCUCAUUAAAUCAGUUAUCGUUUAUUUGAUAGUACCUUUACCUGGAUAACCGUGGUAAUUCUAGAGCUAAUACAUGCUAAAAAUCCCGACUUCGGAAGGGAUGUAUUUAUUAGAUAAAAAACCAAUGCCCUUCGGGGCUCCUUGGUGAUUCAUAAUAACUAAACGAAUCGCAUGGCCUUGCGCCGGCGAUGGUUCAUUCAAAUUUCUUCCCUGUCAACUUUCGAUGUUUGGGUAGUGGCCAAACAUGGUUGCAACGGGUAACGGGGAAU